rnacentral:rRNA from 1 species
UUCUGAAUGGAAGGGCCAUCGCUGAACGGAUAAAAGGUGCUCAGGGGGUAACAGGCUGAUACCGACCAAGAGUUCAUAUCGACGGCGGUGUUUGGCACCUCGAUGUCGGCUCAUCACAUCCUGGGGCUGAAGUAGGUCCCAAGGGUAUGGCUGUUCGCCAUUUAAAGUGGUACGCGAGCUGGGUUUAGAACGUCGUGAGACAGUUGGGUCCCUAUCUGCCGUGGGCGCUGGAGAACGGAGGGGGGCUGCUC